rnacentral:rRNA from 1 species
CCCUUAGAUGUUCUGGGCCGCGCGCGCGCUACACUGAUGCAUUCAACGAGUUUCUUCCUGGUCCGAGAGGAAUGGGUAACCUUUUGAAAGUGCAUCGUGAUAGGGAUAGACUAUUGCAAUUAUUGGUCUUCAACGAGGAAUUCCUAGUAGACGUAGUUCAUCAGACUGCAUCGAUUACGUCCCUGCCCUUUGUACACACCGCCCGUCGCUCCUACCGAUUGAAUGCUCAGGUGAGCCAUUCGGACCUUCAUCAUGCCGGUUUCCGGUUUUGAUGAGGGAAAGUCUUGCGAACCUUAUCAUUUAGAGGAAGGAGAAGUCGUAACA